AUGGACGACGAGGAUUACUCGUGGGUGCGGCGGACGAGGUUCUCCCAUUCCGUCGUCCGCUCCAACUCCGGCAGGGAGCAGUUCGGCGCCUUCGUCGAGCAGUUCAACCGCGGCGCCGCGCUCAGGCAGAACAAGGGCUCCGACUCAGGGUUCAAGCUCCACGGCAUGAACUUCGAGCCCAGGACCAAAGCCUCCGCCACCACCAACCCGGUCCCCAUUCCAAGGACAAGGUCGCUGAGUGCCCAGCCCAAGACGGACCUCAACCAUGCCUUCUCCAACGCCAUACCGGUGCAUCAUCACGAGAAGCCUGCCGAUCACGGUCACCCGCCGCAGUCAGCACCGACCAACAACUCUGCCAACGGAACGAGGGGCCGCAACAACCUCUUCGUCGACGUCUGCUCCGAGCCCGAGGUUCAGGACCCGAGCAAGGCCGACAGCCCUGGGCCUCUCGAGUUCUCCUUCCACCCAGACGAGCAGAGCAUGAGGCUGCAAAGGGUGUGCUCCAGCCCGUCUCCUUUCCCGGCCAAGAAAGCGCCGGUCUUGGACGCGCCGCGGCCGCCGGUGCGCAGUUCGUCGCUCAGGGUCCUCCCAGAGGGGCGCACGACGCGGAUGCUGAGGGCGAGGUCCCCUCUCCCAAGCCGUCCCGUGCCUGAGGUGUUCAAGGAGGCCAAAUCAGCCAGCAAGAGGUUCUCCACGCCGCCGCCGCGCCGGAAAUCUUCGUCCCCGCCACGCGCGCCGCCGGCGGACGCGCCACUCAAGGCGCCGGCCAAGGUGAAGCACCACAGGAAGGAGCACUGGGACAACCAAAGGGCCAAGGCGGCCGCAGAGAAGGUGCUCGAAACUUGGACGGUGGAUCGCAAGCAGCUCCUCAUCGGGCAGAAGUUCGCCUACGGGGCGCACAGCCGUCUGUUCCAUGGAAUCUACAAGGAGGUGCCCGUUGCUGUCAAGUUCAUCAGGCAGCCUGACGUCGAGGAAGAUGCGGAGCUGGCAUCUCAGCUCGAGAAGCAGUUCAACACGGAGGUUGUCACAUUGUCCCGCCUCCAGCAUCGAAACGUCAUUAAGCUGGUUGGAGCAUGCACCAGUCCGCCGGUCUUCUGCGUCAUCACCGAGUUCCUUUCUGGUGGUUCGUUGAGAUCAUUCUUGCACAAGCAAGAGCACAGAUCUCUGCCUUUGGACAAGAUCAUUUCAGUUGGCUUGGAUAUCGCACACGGCAUGGGGUACGUCCACUCGCAAGGAAUCGUACAUCGUGACGUGAAACCGGAUAACAUCAUAUUUGACGGGGAAUGCUGCGCGAAGAUUGUCGAUUUUGGAAUAGCCUGCGAAGAAGCCUACUGUGACCCUCUGGCGAACGAUCCCGGGACCUUCAGAUGGAUGGCUCCGGAGAUGAUGAAGCACAAACCCUAUGGUCGGAAGGUCGAUGUUUACAGCUUCGGCCUUAUCUUGUGGGAAAUGCUUACCGGCUCCGUGCCUUAUGAAGAUUUGACUCCGUUCCAAGCAGCCUUUGCUGUUUUUGACAAGAAUGUGAGGCCGGCCAUUCCCGGCACCUGCCCAGCUGCAUUACGGGUUCUGAUCGAGCAGUGUUGGGCCUUGCAAGCAGAUAAAAGGCCUGAAUUCUGGCAAAUAGUUCAAUUACUGGACAAGUUCAAGAUGGUUCUUGAAAGAGAUGGAACACUUGACAAUAUGCCAAGCUCAAACUGCCAGGAGAAUCAUGAUCCCAAGAAAUGGCUAGCCCACUGGCUCCACAAGCUCAAGCAUCCCCAUCAUCAUCAUGAUCUCUCUGGACCUCCACCACCAAAACUUCUGUAA
rnacentral:rRNA from 1 species